AGCGUGGAGACAGGUGGUGCAUGGCUGUCGUCAGCUCGUGUCGUGAGAUGUUGGGUUAAGUCCCGCAACGAGCGCAACCCUCACCCCUUGUUGCCACCGGGUCAGGCUGGGCACUCUAGGGGAACUGCCCCGGUCAACGGGGAGGAAGGUGGGGAUGACGUCAAGUCAUCAUGCCCCUUACGUCCUGGGCUACACACGUGCUACAAUGGCCGGUACAAAGGGAUGCAAGACUGCGAGGUGGAGCUAAACCCAAAAAGCCGGCCUAAGUUCAGAUUGGAGUCUGCAACUCGACUCCAUGAAGGAGGAAUCGCUAGUAAUCGCGCAUCAGCACGGCGCGGUGAAUACGUUCCCGGGCCUUGUACACACCGCCCGUCACACCACGAAAGCCAGCUGUACUCGAAGUCGCUGAG
rnacentral:rRNA from 1 species